CAGGGAGACAAAAACUGAUUGUGAUGUCUAAUUUUUAAAUUUAGGCCAUAAUCCUGUCACAUUAGGUCGAUCGGUACGUCAGUUAAGUUUUUAAUUAAAGCUGAUUUCUUCAGAUUUAAAAUAACUAUUUAAUUCAGUUCCUAAACUUUGUCUAGGUCACACCCAAUAAGGGUACUCCUGGGCCAUUAGCUCAGGUGGUUAGAGCGCACCCCUGAUAAGGGUGAGGUCCCUGGUUCAAGUCCAGGAUGGCCCAUUCGAUGUUGGGGGUAUAGCUCAGUUGGUAGAGCGCCUGCUUUGCAAGCAGGAUGUCAGCGGUUCGAGUCCGCUUACCUCCACUGAUCGACCUCCUGAUAACGAAGUUUAAGGAGUUUUGUUGGAUGAGAUCUAGAUUUGUUCAUGUUGAAUAGAACCUAGCUUCUUAUCGUUAAUUACUAUUAGGUAUGUAUUGAUAAGACGCUGGGCUCACUGCAAUUAGAAAUUGCGGAAAAGUUCAGUAGAACCUUGACAACUGCAUAGGAUAAGUCUGGAAAGAAUAAGGCAUCUCAUGGAUGCAUUAGUUUUAAUUGAAAUUAUUUUCUCUUUCCGAAGAGUAUUUGAUUUUGAUUAGUGCUAUAUGUUUGAUUCUUGAGUAAGAGCCGAGUCUCUAUAAUGUUCAUUCAAUACGUAAAUAUUAUUGUAUUGGAAGCUUGGUUUUAUUGGAUUUAAUAAACCCAAUAAAAAUCAAAGACAAUAUAGAGAUAAUAAAU
rnacentral:tRNA from 1 species